CGUUUGCUUUUUUCGAGUGAAGCUCUUUCCUCUCUGCUGGACACCAGUUGCGUGCUUAUGUGUUGGAGGUCUCCCCCCGCCCCAAGGCAAUCUACUUCCCCAAUCAAGCAGGAACCCAGUUUCCAGCUGCUUAACAACACACUGGCAGAUUUUUAUUUAAGAUGGUCUCUGCGAUCAGAUCCUAGCAAGGGACACUGACAAAAUACAAGGCCCUCUCGAUUUCCCCUCUUUGCUUGGUCGAAAACUGGAGUACUAUUUUGUGUUUGCACGGGGUGCGCUUUCUGCAUGAGUACCCGUUGCAUUCUGUGCUGCACUCCCUUCCCCUCUUUGAAUGUAACAGAUGGGUUUUCAGUCCAUCUAGGUUUCAUUUCACUCUUAUUAAUUUUUUUUCUUCUUUUGGCGGGAUGAGAAAGGAGCGGGGCACAUGGUUGAAACAUGACAGACUGACUUUUUAAAAAACAACCACCCGUAAACUUGUUUAUCUGCUCUUUGCAUCAGGAAAGCAACACGUUUGCAAAAGCUGAUCAGUUUCCCCUCUGAAGUUCUGAAAUGGAAGACUAGACUGAAGCGGAAAUAUUAAACUCUUAAUUUCUUUCCUAUAUAUUUCCAUUUGUCCUUCAUCACCUCCUCGUCCUUUUUACAAUUUCAAUGCAGAGAACCACAGUUUGCAAAAUUGGAAUUGGACACAUACUGUCAUGUUGUUUUGGCCAGGGGGCGAAGACUGCAGCACGGGGAAAUUUAAACUGAUCUCUAACUGGUCUCAUAACCAAUGAACACUUUAUUUCAACAUGCUUGCCUCAGAUGGACCCGCAAGAAUUGCAUGCCUCAGUACAUUGUUAAAAGACAGAGGAAAAAUCCUUAGUCCUUACUCUGAUUAACUCCCAGUGACUAUAAGGAGUGGUUAGCCUAAGGGCCAAGUUUAAACCAAAUAAAGAUUCAGGAUUUGGAGCA